rnacentral:tRNA from 1 species
GCGGGCGUAGCUCAAUGGUAGAGCAACAGCCUUCCAAGCUGAUGACGGGGGUUCGAUUCCCCUCGCCCGCUCCA